rnacentral:rRNA from 1 species
GAUGAACGCUGGCGGCGUGCCUAAUACAUGCAAGUCGAGCGAAUGGAUUAAGAGCUUGCUCUUAUGAAGUUAGCGGCGGACGGGUGAGUAACACGUGGGUAACCUGCCCAUAAGACUGGGAUAACUCCGGGAAACCGGGGCUAAUACCGGAUAACAUUUUGAACCGCAUGGUUCGAAAUUGAAAGGCGGCUUCGGCGGUUACUUAUGGCUGGACCCGCGUCGCAUUAGGUAGUUGGUGAGGUAAGGGCUCACCAAGGCAACGAUGCGUAGCCGACCUGAGAGGGUGAUCGGCCACACUGGGACUGGGACACGGCCCAGACUCCUACGGGAGGCAGCAGUAGGGAAUCUUCCGCAAUGGACGAAAGUCUGACGGAGCAACGCCGCGUGAGUGAUGAAGGCUUUCGGGUCGUAAAACUCUGUUGUUAGGGAAGAACAAGUGCUAGUUGAAUAAGCUGACACCUUGACGGUACCUAACCAGAAAGCCACGGCUAACUACGUGCCAGCAGCCGCCGUAA